rnacentral:rRNA from 1 species
CCCCUAGAUGUUCUGGGCCGCACGCGCGCUACACUGAACAGUUCAACAAGUCUUAACCUUGGCCGAUAGGUCUGGGUAAUCUUUGAACGCUGUUCGUGAUUGGGAUAGACCUUUGCAAUUAUGGGUCUUCAACGAGGAAUUCCUAGUAAACGCAAGUCAUCAGCUUGCAUUGAUUACGUCCCUGCCCUUUGUACACACCGCCCGUCGCACCUACCGAUUGAAUGGUUCGGUGAAAUCUCGGGACGGCGGCUUGGUCGCUUGCGUCCGACUGCUGAAACUUGAUUAAACCAUAUCAUUUAGAGGAAGGUGAANUCGUANCA